AGCGAACGCUGGCGGCAGGCNUAAUACAUGCAAGUCGAGCGCACCUUCGGGUGAGCGGCGGACGGGUGAGUAACGCGUGGGAAUAUGCCCUUUGGUACGGAACAACUGAGGGAAACUUCAGCUAAUACCGUAUGUNCCCUUCGGGGGAAAGAUUUAUCGCCAUUGGAGUAGCCCGCGUUGGAUUAGGUAGUUGGUGGGGUAAAGGCCCACCAAGCCGACGAUCCAUAGCUGGUCUGAGAGGAUGAUCAGCCACACUGGGACUGAGACACGGCCCAGACUCCUACGGGAGGCAGCAGUAGGGAAUCUUGCGCAAUGGGCGAAAGCCUGACGCAGCCAUGCCGCGUGAAUGAUGAAGGUCUUAGGAUUGUAAAAUUCUUUCACCGGGGAAGAUAAUGACGGUACCCGGAGAAGAAGCCCCGGCUAACUUCGUGC
rnacentral:rRNA from 1 species